AGACCGAUAGCGAACAAGUACUGUGAAGGAAAGAUGAAAAGAACUUUGAAAAGAGAGUGAAAAAGUACGUGAAAUUGUUGAAAGGGAAGGGUAUUCGAUCAGACUGGUAUUUAAUUAUCGCUACUCCUUGUGGGUGGUGCUCUAAUUUCUUACUGGGCCAACAUCAGUUUUGGUGGUAAGAUAAUCGCAGUUGAAUGUGGCUCCUCGGAGUGUUAUAGCUUCUGUUGAUGUUACCUACCGGGACUGAGGUCUGCGACUUUGUCUAGGAUGUUGGCGUAAUGAUCCAAUACCGCCCGUCUUGAAACACGGACCAAG
rnacentral:rRNA from 1 species